CCUACGGGAGGCAGCAGUGAGGAAUAUUGGUCAAUGGACGAGAGUCUGAACCAGCCAAGUAGCGUGAAGGAUGACUGCCCUAUGGGUUGUAAACUUCUUUUAUAUGGGAAUAAAACGUUCCACGUGUGGGAUUUUGUAUGUACCAUAUGAAUAAGGAUCGGCUAACUCCGUGCCAGCAGCCGCGGUAAUACGGAGGAUCCGAGCGUUCUCCGGAUUUAUUGGGUUUAAAGGGAGCGUAGAUGGGUUGUUAAGUCAGUUGUGAAAGUUUGCGGCUCAACCGUAAAAUUGCAAUUGAUACUGGCAGUCUUGAGUACAGUUGAGGUAGGCGGAAUUCGUGGUGUAGCGGUGAAAUGCUUAGAUAUCACGAAGAACUCCGAUUGCGAAGGCAGCCUACUAAACUGCCACUGACAUUGAUGCUCGAAAGUGUGGGUAUCAAACAGGAUUAGAUACCCUUGUAGUC
rnacentral:rRNA from 1 species